rnacentral:rRNA from 1 species
UUGAUCGCGGCCAUUCUGUUUCCAGCACGCUGGCGGCAGGCCUAACACAUGCAAGUCGAGCGGUAGCACAGAGAGCUUGCUCUCGGGUGACGAGCGGCGGACGGGUGAGUAAUGUCUGGGAAACUGCCUGAUGGAGGGGGAUAACUACUGGAAACGGUAGCUAAUACCGCAUAAUGUCGCAAGACCAAAGUGGGGGACCUUCGGGCCUCAUGCCAUCAGAUGUGCCCAGAUGGGAUUAGCUAGUAGGUGGGGUAACGGCUCACCUAGGCGACGAUCCCUAGCUGGUCUGAGAGGAUGACCAGCCACACUGGAACUGAGACACGGUCCAGACUCCUACGGGAGGCAGCAGUGGGGAAUAUUGCACAAUGGGCGCAAGCCUGAUGCAGCCAUGCCGCGUGUGUGAAGAAGGCCUUCGGGUUGUAAAGCACUUUCAGCGGGGAGGAAGGCGUUAAGGUUAAUAACCUUGUCGAUUGACGUUACCCGCAGAAGAAGCACCGGCUAACUCCGUGCCAGCAGCCGCGGUAAUACGGAGGGUGCAAGCGUUAAUCGGAAUUACUGGGCGUAAAGCGCACGCAGGCGGUCUGUCAAGUCGGAUGUGAAAUCCCCGGGCUCAACCUGGGAACUGCAUUCGAAACUGGCAGGCUAGAGUCUUGUAGAGGGGGGUAGAAUUCCAGGUGUAGCGGUGAAAUGCGUAGAGAUCUGGAGGAAUACCGGUGGCGAAGGCGGCCCCCUGGACAAAGACUGACGCUCAGGUGCGAAAGCGUGGGGAGCAAACAGGAUUAGAUACCCUGGUAGUCCACGCCGUAAACGAUGUCGAUUUGGAGGUUGUGCCCUUGAGGCGUGGCUUCCGGAGCUAACGCGUUAAAUCGACCGCCUGGGGAGUACGGCCGCAAGGUUAAAACUCAAAUGAAUUGACGGGGGCCCGCACAAGCGGUGGAGCAUGUGGUUUAAUUCGAUGCAACGCGAAGAACCUUACCUGGUCUUGACAUCCACAGAACUUUCCAGAGAUGGAUUGGUGCCUUCGGGAACUGUGAGACAGGUGCUGCAUGGCUGUCGUCAGCUCGUGUUGUGAAAUGUUGGGUUAAGUCCCGCAACGAGCGCAACCCUUAUCCUUUGUUGCCAGCGGUCCGGCCGGGAACUCAAAGGAGACUGCCAGUGAUAAACUGGAGGAAGGUGGGGAUGACGUCAAGUCAUCAUGGCCCUUACGACCAGGGCUACACACGUGCUACAAUGGCAUAUACAAAGAGAAGCGACCUCGCGAGAGCAAGCGGACCUCAUAAAGUAUGUCGUAGUCCGGAUUGGAGUCUGCAACUCGACUCCAUGAAGUCGGAAUCGCUAGUAAUCGUAGAUCAGAAUGCUACGGUGAAUACGUUCCCGGGCCUUGUACACACCGCCCGUCACACCAUGGGAGUGGGUUGCAAAAGAAGUAGGUAGCUUAACCUUCGGGAGGGCGCUUACCACUUUGUGAUUCAUGACUGGGGUGAAGUCGUAACAAGGUAACCGUAGGGGAACCUGCGGUUGGAUCACCUCCUUA